rnacentral:rRNA from 1 species
CCGCUUUUGAUCGGGAGCAAGCCUUCGGGUGAGUGUACCUUUCGAAUAAGCACCCGGCUAACUACGUGCCAGCAGCCGCGGUAAUACGUAGGGUGCAAGCGUUAUCCGGAAUUAUUGGGCGUAAAGGGCUCGUAGGCGGUUCGUCGCGUCCGGUGUGAAAGUCCAUCGCUUAACGGUGGAUCUGCGCCGGGUACGGGCGGGCUGGAGUGCGGUAGGGGAGACUGGAAUUCCCGGUGUAACGGUGGAAUGUGUAGAUAUCGGGAAGAACACCAAUGGCGAAGGCAGGUCUCUGGGCCGUUACUGACGCUGAGGAGCGAAAGCGUGGGGAGCGAACAGGAUUAGAUACCCUGGUAGUCCACGCCGUAAACGGUGGAUGCUGGAUGUGGGGCCCGUUCCACGGGUUCCGUGUCGGAGCUAACGCGUUAAGCAUCCCGCCUGGGGAGUACGGCCGCAAGGCUAAAACUCAAAGAAAUUGACGGGGGCCCGCACAAGCGGCGGAGCAUGCGGAUUAAUUCGAUGCAACGCGAAGAACCUUACCUGGGCUUGACAUGUUCCCGACAGCCGUAGAGAUAUGGCCUCCCUUCGGGGCGGGUUCACAGGUGGUGCAUGGUCGUCGUCAGCUCGUGUCGUGAGAUGUUGGGUUAAGUCCCGCAACGAGCGCAACCCUCGCCCUGUGUUGCCAGCACGUCAUGGUGGGAACUCACGGGGGACCGCCGGGGUCAACUCGGAGGAAGGUGGGGAUGACGUCAGAUCAUCAUGCCCCUUACGUCCAGGGCUUCACGCAUGCUACAAUGGCCGGUACAACGGGAUGCGACACGGCGACGUGGAGCGGAUCCCUGAAAACCGGUCUCAGUUCGGAUUGGAGUCUGCAACCCGACUCCAUGAAGGCGGAGUCGCUAGUAAUCGCGGAUCAGCAACGCCGCGGUGAAUGCGUUCCCGGGCCUUGUACACACCGCCCGUCAAGUCAUGAAAGUGGGUAGCACCCGAAGCCGGUGGCCUAACCCUUUGUGGANGGAGCCGUCUAA